GUGAAGGAAAAACAUCAUAUUGUAAUAAC
rnacentral:sRNA from 1 species